rnacentral:rRNA from 1 species
CCGCCCGUCGCUCCUACCGAUUGAAUGAUCCGGUGAAGUGUUCGGAUCGCGGCGACGUGGGUGGUUCGCCGUCUGCGACGUCGCGAGAAGUCCACUAAACCUUAUCAUUUAGAGGAAGGAGAAGUCGUAACAAGGUUUCCGUAGGUGAACCUGCGGAAGGAUCAUUGUCGAUACCUGUCCAAAACAGAACAACCCGCGAACGAACGAUCAUCACACUCGGUUGGCCGGUUUCAUUAGUUGAACCCCUGCUUACCGAUUCCGUGGUUUCGCGUAUUGCCUUCAUCAAGAUUAAUCGUCUUGAUCAGGCCAUGCGUGUUCCUUCCGGAUAUCACAAAACCCCGGCACGAAAAGUGUCAAGGAACAUGCAACAAAACAGCUGCCUUCGCCGCCCCGGAAACGGUGUGCGUGCGUAAGUUGCGCUGCAAUAUGAAGUCUAUAACGACUCUCGGCAACGGAUAUCUCGGCUCUCGCAUCGAUGAAGAACGUAGCGAAAUGCGAUACUUGGUGUGAAUUGCAGAAUCCCGUGAACCAUCGAGUCUUUGAACGCAAGUUGCGCCCCAAGCCUUUAGGCCGAGGGCACGUCUGCCUGGGUGUCACAAAUCGUCGUCCCCAUCCUUUACGGAGAAGGGACGGAAGUUGGCCUCCCGUGUGUUACCGCACGCGGUUGACCUAAAUCUGAGCUGAGGACGUCUUGGAGCGUCUCGACAUGCGGUGGUGAAUUAAAGCCUCGUCAUUUCGUCGGUUGCUCCAGUCCGAAUGCUCUCGAUGACCC